rnacentral:tRNA from 2 species
CGGGGCGUAGCGCAGCCUGGUGAGCGCGUCUGCUUUGGGAGCAGAAGGUCCCCGGUUCAAAUCCGGGCGCCCCGACCA